AGUUAAAUAAAUAAUUAAAAUUGUGUACAAAUAAUAAAAGGUAAAAUUAGAAUAUUAUUUUGUAUGAUAAAAAAAUUAUAAUUGAAGCUAAAAAAAUUUGGUAAUAAACUAGGAUUAGAUACCCUAUUAUUCCAAAAUAAAUAAACCUAAACUAAAUUAGUAUAAGAUAAAUACUUAAAAUUUAAAAAAUUUGGCGGCAAUUUAAUCUUUUCAGAGGAACCUGUUUUAUAAUCGAUAAACCACGAAGAAUCUUACUUGUCCUAGUAAUCUACAGUUUGUAUACCAUCAUUGUCAGAUAAUUCUUAGAAGAAAAAUUAUUAAGUUUAAUUAUUUAAAAAAAUUAGAUCAUGGUGCAGUUUAUGGGCAAGGUAAAAUGGGUUACAAUAAAUUACUUUACUACGGAUUAAUAAAAUAAUUUUGUUAUGAAGGUGGAUUUGAUUGUAUUUAAAGUUUAAUAAGCAAACAAGAUAUAAGUUCUAAAUUGUGUACAUAUCGCCCGUCGCUUUCAUUUAUAAGU
rnacentral:rRNA from 1 species